UACGAAGGGGGCUAGCGUUGCUCGGAAUCACUGGGCGUAAAGGGUGCGUAGGCGGGUUUUUAAGUCCGGGGUGAAAUCCUGGAGCUCAACUCCAGAACUGCCUUUGAUACUGAGGAUCUUGAGUUCGGGAGAGGUGAGUGGAACUGCGAGUGUAGAGGUGAAAUUCGUAGAUAUUCGCAAGAACACCAGUGGCGAAGGCGGCUCACUGGUCCGGUACUGACGCUGAGGUGCGAAAGCGUGGGGAGCGAACAGG
rnacentral:rRNA from 1 species